GCUGUGGUGGCCAAGAGGUUAAGAUGUUGGAGUUGAAAUCCAGUAGGGUUUCCCUGCACAGGUUCAAAUCCUGUUCACAGCA